UGGGGGAUAUUGCACAAUGGGCGAAAACCUGAUGCAGCGACGCCGCGUGGGGGAUGAAGGCUUUCGGGUUGUAAACCUCUUUCGCUAUCGAACAAGGCCCGCUUAGGGUGGGUUGAGGGUAGGUGGAGAAGAAGCGCCGGCUAACUACGUGCCAGCAGCCGCGGUAAUACGUAGGGCGCGAGCGUUGUCCGGAAUUAUUGGGCGUAAAGGGCUUGUAGGCGGCUUGUUGCGACUGUUGUGAAAACGCGGGGCUUAACUUCGCGCGUGCAGUGGGUACGGGCAGGCUUGAGUGUGGUAGGGGUGACUGGAAUUCCAGGUGUAGCGGUGGAAUGCGCAGAUAUCUGGAGGAACACCGAUGGCGAAGGCAGGUCACUGGGCCAUUACUGACGCUGAGGAGUGAAAGCAUGGGUAGCGAACAGG
rnacentral:rRNA from 1 species